rnacentral:rRNA from 1 species
AACGAACGCUGGCGGCGUGCCUAACACAUGCAAGUCGAACGGAGUUAAGGGGCUUGCUCCUUAACUUAGUGGCGCACGGGUGAGUAACGCGUGGAUAAUCUGCCCUGGUAUCCGGGAUAACAUUUCGAAAGGGGUGCUAAUACGGGAUAAGCUUACGGGGUCUUAGGAUCUUGUGGGAAAAGGUGGGGACCUUCGGGCCUACCGUACCAGGAUGAGUCCGCGUACCAUUAGCUAGUUGGCGGGGUAAAGGCCCACCAAGGCGACGAUGGUUAGCUGGUCUGAGAGGAUGAUCAGCCACACUGGAACUGAGACACGGUCCAGACUCCUACGGGAGGCAGCAGUGGGGAAUUUUGCGCAAUGGGGGAAACCCUGACGCAGCAACGCCGCGUGAGUGAUGAAGGCCUUCGGGUCGUAAAGCUCUGUCAGAGGGAAAGAAGUGUAUCAAUGCUAAUAUCAUUGGUACUUGACGGUACCCUCAAAGGAAGCACCGGCUAACUCCG